GCUACUGCCAUCAGAGUUCGAUUAAGCCAUGUUAGUCGAGGGUACCUCUUCUUCUUCGGAGGAUGAGGUAACCCGGCGGACGGCUCAGUAACACGUGGAUAACUUGCCCUUGGGUCUGGGAUAACCCCUGGGAAACUGGGGCUAAUACCGGAUAGAGCAUCAAUCGCUGGAAUGCAUGAUGCUCGAAAACUACGGUGCCCAAGGAUAGGUCUGCGGCUGAUUAGGUUGUUGUUGAUGUAAUGGACCAACAAGCCUACGAUCGGUACGGGUUGUGAGAGCAAUAGCCCGGAGAUGGGUUCUGAGAAAAGAACCCAGGUCCUACGGGACGCAUCAGGCGCGAAAACUUUACAAUGUGCGAAAGCACGAUAAGGGAACUCUGAGUGCCCCCUAAGGGGGCUGUUCUAGUGUCUAAAAAGCAAUAGAAGUAAGGGCUGGGCAAGACCGGUGCCAGCCGCCGCGGUAACACCGGCAGCCCAAGUGGUAGCCACGUUUAUUGGGUCUAAAGCGUUCGUAGCCGGCUUGGUAAGUUCCUUGGUAAAUUUAGCCGCUUAACGGUUAAGCUUUCAGGGGAUACUGCUUGGCUUGGGACUGGGAGAGGUCAGAGGUACUCCAGGGGUAGGGGUGAAAUCCAUUAAUCCUUGGGGGACCACCGGUAGCGAAGGCGUCUGACCAGACCAGCUCCGACGGUGAGGGACGAAGGCUAGGGGCGCGAACCGGAUUAGAUACCCGGGUAGUCCUGGCCGUAAACGAUGCAUACUAGGUGAUGGUACGGCCAUGAGCCGUAUCAGUGCCGUAGGGAAACCGUUAAGUGUGCCGCCUGGGAAGUACGGUCGCAAGGCUAAAACUUAAAGGAAUUGGCGGGGGAGCACCACAAGGGGUGAAGCCUGCGGUUC
rnacentral:rRNA from 1 species